GGGACAAUGGAGCAAGUCUGGCUCCUCUCCUUGGCAUUGGACCUCCUUCCAAUGGAUUCUGGUCUUGCUUGUUCGGAAUAGAGGAACUGCACGAGCGCGACCUGAGAUCCUGGAAGGAUAUUGACAGUUGAGUUUAUUGACUCCUGUCCACAUGCUGGGAUGAAUGCACACGAAAGCUGUGCCUCAUGCCACAGAGCAGGCCAGCGCAGGUGUUGGACAGCAUGUGCAAUAAGUGUGUCCCUGUUGUCUGCUGAAAGCACAACUCCUCAAACGACUGCACCCUACUCUGAACACUGAUAUAUGUAGGGCCUGUCUGCAAAUUUCUCUGGAGACCUAAGCCGAUAUGACGACAUCCUGAGACCACUAAUAGACCCAGUGUGAAGCGGAGAGCCGUAGGAAGAGAAGGAGCUUGUAAAAUACCUGCUUCUAAAGGUUUGUCAAACCUCCGGAGAGAAUAAAAGAAGAAUGUAAGGGUCACACAGAAAAGUACAAAGACUUAGCAGAGAAUGGAGGGAAGUGCCUUUAAGGUUAGUAAGUGUGGUUAACUUCAAUGACAUUCCCUUCACUCCGUCAGGCCUCAAUGAGCCGCUACAGUUGGUAAAUCUGUGCGGCAGAUGGUCAGCGUACUUGCACCUGUGUUUCACGGCACGAGUGAGAAGAGCAGGCAAGCAGAGCAGAGCAAACAGUGCACAUGUGAGCACAAGUGUGCGCAUGUGUGCUCGGCCUCUCACCCUUCAUCAAGCUGUCUGCAAACCACGGCGGCGUCUUCAUCCCCCCAGUCAUUGCUGCACACAGACCCCCAAACUCCACUCAGGUACACCUCCACCCUGCCAUCUAGCUUUGACCGCCCUCCUUGCAGGCGCACUGAGCCUGAGGUGGAAGAAAAGUUUGAGGAGAAGAAUCUGAGACACAAAAAUGUGAAAGAAUCAACUUUUAGGCAAAUGCAUGCAAUCAAACGUGUUCAGUCCUUAUGAACUAUUAGUUGUAUUUUUAUUUAGAAAGACGAUUGAAGCAGCACAAACAUCUUCUAUACUUAGGUUUCUGUCAGCAGAUCUGUGGACACAGAAGUAUUGAAGUUCAUUAACAAAUUUAACCCGUAAGAACCCAAACCCUAUUUUCCCUUUAAAAUCAAAAUAAUGUGGAGCAUACCACAGAACAAGUGAACCACUGACAUUUUUCUGUUGCAUUGAUGUCACCAGGUUUUUAUGGGUUAAAUCUCCUCCAUUGUACUUGCAUUUUCUUUCCUGCCCGCUCAAACAUUUUUUAGCAUAAUUUUACAAAACUGUCCAAUUAUGGUUCAACAUUUUCUCAAGUUAACUGGAAAUUACUGUCGAUUUUUCAUAUUUGUUCAGCUUUAAAACCCCAAAUGAACAAGAAGAUAUAAGAAAUGUAAUAAAUUAACUUUUUUUGUUUUUGUUGUAAAUGUUUUGACUUGUGCUUUAGAUGUAGCCGUUAUGAUUGCAGUGUUUUUGCCUUUAGGCCAUAUGUAAGCCAAAAAAAUCUUUGAUAAAUUAUUUUCGAGCAGCUGCAUGUUCCAACUUGCGUGAAGAAACAUUGCAGGCUAAAAUGUUCUUGCAAAUUAAGCAUUGAGAAAGAAUGAAAACAGCUUUAAAAGUAAAUAAAUAAAGCUUGCAACUGCAAUAAACAUGCAGCCUUUUUGGAAACUAUUCACUUCAAGACAAAAAUGAAAACAUCCCAAUGGAACUGCAUUUGCAUUUAUGACUUCAAUAUUUGUGCAUCUUUGUGCGUGGACUGAAUGGUUGCUGCAGAUGCAAAUUAGCCUACUUUUCUUUUAGUUUCUGAUGUCCAGUAGCAUGCAGCCUUCACGGGAAAUAAUUUCGAUUCAUUAGAAUUAGCGUGCAUCUGCCAAAUCCUGUGCACAAAAGUUGCACACCUUUGCAACAUCUGCAGCCGUUCUGCUGCACCUUUGCGCAAUAAUAAUAAUAAUGAAUGUGCAUGUGUUUUUCUGCAUAUAUUUUUAAUCAAAAUUGCCCAUAUUUCUUGAAUAAAUAUUUGUCAAUUUCAGAUUUUUUUUACGCAAUUCCAUGCGGGCCUGUGUGUUUACCUUGUUUACAGUCGCAGUACCCCCAGUCUACCCUGCCUUUGUGGUUCCUGAAAAAGCACCAGGGUCUGAGCCUGCUGUCUGGGUUGCGGCAGUGGUUGUGUUCUCCUAUCCCUUUGCCCGGAUGGCGCUCCUCGAAUCCGGCCACCUCGGUCCAGUUCAUGCACCGGCUGCCCGACUCCGUCACGUCUAUGGAUCCCCGGUAAAAGCCGUCCUUCCCGCGGCUCCGAACGCAGUCGGUGAACGGCAGGAGGACCGAGGAGGAGACGCGGCUGGAAUAACAGACACUCGCAGCCAGAAUCACGGCUAUAAUGGACGCGAGCAACGCCACACGCAUGUUCAGGUCCCACAGCUCUGAGCCGCUGAUAACGGGGGAAAUGUCAGCUACUCAUCAGCUGACGGGUUCAUGUCAGCCGCGCCGCUUUGGGACGGGACUGAGCCCCGCGUUAGGAAAACCCACGCAGAUCGAUGGAACCGCUUUUGCGUGGCUUGCUGAGCAGGCACCCCUCCAAGGAGGAAAAAAAAAUCCUUUAACACCGAUGCAUUCACAGAUGUAUGCAGAACAGAAAUCUGCAGUGCAGCCUGCAUUAAUAUGAUCAUGAAUGUAUCUAUGACAAUAGAAAAACGCAAAUAUGCAGCAAUAUAACCCACUUUGAACCUU